UUUGAUUAUCUUAGAAGUUUCAACUUAACGCUAAAGUCAUUACGUGCUAAUUAUUAUAUACUUAUCGUCAUCUAAACCUAAAUUGAUUAUUAUAUGCUAGUUCCUAGUGCUACUUACAUACAAAGUACUUAAACCUACAGUACGGAUAUAGUACGGACUUGAGGAAGGUAGAAGAAGACUAAACGGAUUUUAUAACGCGCUUCACAUCAUCAUCAAAUAUACGUGUUACAAAACCGAAAACAACCUCUUCUCUAUCCCGUCCAG